rnacentral:rRNA from 1 species
GAUGAACGCUGGCGGCGUGCCUAAUACAUGCAAGUCGAGCGAACAGACGAGGAGCUUGCUCCUCUGACGUAAGCGGCGGACGGGUGAGUAACACGUGGAUAACCUACCUAUAAGACUGGGAUAACUUCGGGAAACCGGAGCUAAUACCGGAUAAUAUAUUGAACCGCAUGGUUCAAUAGUGAAAGACGGUUUUGCUGUCACUUAUAGAUGGAUCCGCGCCGCAUUAGCUAGUUGGUAAGGUAACGGCUUACCAAGGCAACGAUGCGUAGCCGACCUGAGAGGGUGAUCGGCCACACUGGAACUGAGACACGGUCCAGACUCCUACGGGAGGCAGCAGUAGGGAAUCUUCCGCAAUGGGCGAAAGCUUGACGGAGCAACGCCGCGUGAGUGAUGAAGGUCUUCGGAUCGUAAAACUCUGUUAUUAGGGAAGAACAAAUGUGUAAGUAACUAUGCACGUCUUGACGGUACCUAAUCAGAAAGCCACGGCUAACUACGUG